rnacentral:rRNA from 1 species
UACGAAGGGCGCUAGCGUUGCUCGGAAUCACUGGGCGUAAAGCGCACGUAGGCGGCUCGCUAAGUCAGGGGUGAAAUCCUGGAGCUCAACUCCAGAACUGCCUUUGAUACUGGCAAUCUCGAGUCCGGGAGAGGUGAGUGGAACUGCGAGUGUAGAGGUGAAAUUCGUAGAUAUUCGCAAGAACACCAGUGGCGAAGGCGGCUCACUGGCCCGGUACUGACGCUGAGGUGCGAAAGCGUGGGGAGCAAACAGG